AGCGAACGCUGGCGGCAGGCCUAACACAUGCAAGUCGAACGAAGCCUUCGGGCUUAGUGGCGGACGGGUGAGUAACACGUGGGAACGUACCUUUUGGUUCGGAACAACUCAGGGAAACUUGAGCUAAUACCGGAUGAGCCCUUAGGGGGAAAGAUUUAUCGCCGAAAGAGCGGCCCGCGUUAGAUUAGCUAGUUAGUGAGGUAAAGGCUCACCAAGGCAACGAUCUAUAGCUGGUUCGAGAGGAUGAUCAGCCACACUGGGACUGAGACACGGCCCAGACUCCUACGGGAGGCAGCAGUGGGGAAUCUUGCGCAAUGGGCGAAAGCCUGACGCAGCCAUGCCGCGUGAAUGAUGAAGGUCUUAGGAUUGUAAAAUUCUUUUACCAGGGACGAUAAUGACGGUACCUGGAGAAAAAGCCCCGGCUAACUUCGUGCCAGCCGCCGCGGUAAAAC
rnacentral:rRNA from 1 species